UAUGUAGGUGUCCUAUUAAGUCCUUUUUGAAAUACUUUGGCUUAACCAAAGAAAACGGAAGGGAAACUGAUGGGAUUGAGUACAGGAGAGGAGAGCGGAAUUCCCGGUGUAAGGGUGAAAUCUGUAGAUAUCGGGAAGAACACCAGUGGCGAAAGCGGCUCUCUGGCCUGAUACUGACACUGAGAUACGAAAGCAAGGGGAUCAAACA
rnacentral:rRNA from 1 species